AGGGAAUAUUGGACAAUGGGGGAAACCCUGAUCCAGCCAUGCCGCGUGAGUGAUGAAGGCCUUAGGGUUGUAAAACUCUUUCAACGGUGAAGAUAAUGACGGUAACCGUAGAAGAAGCCCCGGCUAACUUCGUGCCAGCAGCCGCGGUAAUACGAAGGGGGCUAGCGUUGUUCGGAAUUACUGGGCGUAAAGAGCGUGUAGGCUGGCUGCCAAGUCAGAUGUGAAAUCCCGGAGCUCAACUCCGGAACUGCAUUUGAAACUGGUAGCCUAGAGUAUCGGAGGGGAUGGUGGAAUUCCUAGUGUAGAGGUGAAAUUCGUAGAUAUUAGGAGGAACACCGGUGGCGAAGGCG
rnacentral:rRNA from 1 species